rnacentral:lncRNA from 7 species
CUUUUAUGUCUUUUGUCCAGAUCAUCUAGAAACUCCAUUCUAUCUGAACUACAGAAAGUCUAGGGAAGAAAAAAAAAAAACUUUAGCAGGGUAAACUCUGCAACAAGCUUAAAAGAAUUCCAAGAGCAAGAUGUAAAUUCUUCAGCCAAUGGAGUUUGUGGCAUAUAUUCAACAUCUAUUGUUACAACUAAGACAGACUGAUCUGAGCUGAAAAUAUCAAUAACAGGAAUUGCUGGAACAACAUAAGCCUGCUUUGUAUGCACAUCUUGUGCUGCUGGGGAGCCACUCCUACCUCACAAGUUUCUUGAUUCAUUUGCACAGUACUGAGAACCAAAGGAGAGAACAGAAGGUCAGUCAGCCUCUCAGGUCGGGUGGAUCUGAGCUCUAAGCCCCAGGAUCUUACCCUGGAGUCCAAAAUAGGCUGGUGGGAAAAGUGAUACAGCAAUGAGAUCACUGUGUACUUCUGGACAAUUUCCUUUUUCCUAUAUGCUUAAAUACACAGGGAAGAAUCCCUCUAUUAAAGCGAGGCCCACGACAUGAAGACGGCAGAGGUUCAGCUGAAGGGAAAGAAAAAUAUAUUCUUGUAUGGCUGGAUUUUCCUGUCUGAAUGAGUGGGAAACAGCUUUGUGGCUUGUUUGCUGGAAAGCUGCAGGACCUGGAAGAAGGGAUAAGCAUAUGUCAGACAGAUGUACUCAGAUCAGGAACUUCCCUCAGUAAGGGAAGUCAGGACGGGUUUGUUUUCCUUCAUGGGUUUAAAUUAUGGGAACAAACCGUAAAGGUCUUUGAUGGAGGCCUUUAAGCACGCAUGCCACGCUGCCCAGCUGCACUGCUAGCACUGGGUUAGACACGUCCCCAGGCCUGGGUUCUGCUAACAUGCUCUGUGUGUACGCUCUGUACUCUGACUUCUCCUCAGCAAAACACGGCUGUGUCUAUUGCUGCUUUAUUAGCAUUUUUACUCCAGAGCAAUGCAAAACCACCAGCCCCAGAAAAAAAAAAUCCAUUUAAUUACAUUUUCCACCACAUCUGCUUGGAUCCAAGGGACUUGCUGAACACUGUGCUCCCUCCAGGUAACACAGGGAAAGGGCUUCUCCAGUCUGUACCAAACUCCUGCUGCCAGGGGUUUGCUCAUGUUACUGAAAUGCUCUGUAAAAUAAAAUCUAGUCUGACAAAAAUCAGCUGCAAAUGAACUACGAUUCUGGUUUCUGAUUAAAGCUUGAAUGACUAGAUUGUGUCUGGGGUAUGAUUUUAAACAAAGGUAUGCCUUUGUGUGUAGCUUGUGCCUAACUUCAGGUGUCUGAUUGUAGAACGGCACAUUUAAUACAUGUAAAUGAUUUUAAAAAUAGAUCUGAUAUCUGUGUCAUUUGCAGGAUAUGUAUGACCUUGAACACAGCAGCAUGUGUGCCAUUUUUCAUUGUUUAUCUGUAAAUAAAGAUUAAUCAGACUACC